AUGGGAACGCGAAGAACCUUACCUACUCUUGACAUCCAGAGAACUUUCCAGAGAUGGAUUGGUGCCUUCGGGAACUCUGAGACAGGUGCUGCAUGGCUGUCGUCAGCUCGUGUUGUGAAAUGUUGGGUUAAGUCCCGCAACGAGCGCAACCCGUUAUCCUUUGUUGCCAGCGGUUAGGCCGGGAACUCAAAGGAGACUGCCAGUGAUAAACUGGAGGAAGGUGGGGAUGACGUCAAGUCAUCAUGGCCCUUACGAGUAGGGCUACACACGUGCUACAAUGGCGCAUACAAAGAGAAGCGACCUCGCGAGAGCAAGCGGACCUCAUAAAGUGCGUCGUAGUCCGGAUUGGAGUCUGCAACUCGACUCCAUGAAGUCGGAAUCGCUAGUAAUCGUAGAUCAGAAUGCUACGGUGAAUACGUU
rnacentral:rRNA from 1 species